rnacentral:rRNA from 1 species
AACGAACGCUGGCGGCAUGCCUAAUACAUGCAAGUCGAACGAUCACUUCGGUGGUAGUGGCGCACGGGUGCGUAACGCGUGGGAAUCUGCCCUUGGGUUCGGAAUAACAUCGGGAAACUGAUGCUAAUACCGGAUGAUGACGUAAGUCCAAAGAUUUAUCGCCCAGGGAUGAGCCCGCGUAGGAUUAGCUAGUUGGUGGGGUAAAGGCCUACCAAGGCGACGAUCCUUAGCUGGUCUGAGAGGAUGAUCAGCCACACUGGGACUGAGACACGGCCCAGACUCCUACGGGAGGCAACAGUAGGGAAUAUUGGACAAUGGGGGCAACCCUGAUCCAGCAAUGCCGCGUGAGUGAUGAAGGCCUUAGGGUUGUAAAGCUCUUUUACCCGGGAUGAUAAUGACAGUACCGGGAGAAUAAGCCCCGGCUAACUCCGUGCCAGCCGCCGCCGUAA